GCCAGCGGUGAUAGCACGUUGAAUACACGAAUUCCCCAUGGAUCAUUGAAGUUAAGCAACGCUGAGUGUGGUUGGUAUCCGGAUGGGUGACGAUAUGGGCAAUCCCGUACUGGCU
rnacentral:rRNA from 1 species